UACAGAGGUCUCAAGCGUUGUUCGGAUUCAUUGGGCGUAAAGGGUGCGUAGGUGGCGCCGUAAGUCAGGUGUGAAAUUUCGGAGCUUAACUCCGAAAACUGCAUUUGAUACUGCGGUGCUUUGAGGACUGGAGAGGAGACUGGAAUUUACGGUGUAGCAGUGAAAUGCGUAGAGAUCGUAAGGAAGACCAGUGGCGAAGGCGGGUCUCUGGACAGUUCCUGACACUG
rnacentral:rRNA from 1 species